rnacentral:SRP_RNA from 1 species
GCUGGGCAUGGUGGCGCAUGCCUGUAUUCCCAGCUACUCGGGAGGCUGAGGCAGAAGAAUCGCUUGAACCCGGGAGGCAGAGGUUGCAGUGAGCCGAGAUCAUGCCACUGCAUUUCAGCCUUGGCAACAGAGCGAGACUCUGUCUCAA